ensembl:misc_RNA Metazoa_SRP Metazoan signal recognition particle RNA
GCCAGGUGUGGUGACUCAUACCUGUAAUCCCAGUACUUUGGGAGGCUGAGGCAGGAGGAUUGCUUGAGCCCAGGAAUUUGAGACCAGUCUGGGCAACAUAGCAAGACUCCAUCUCUAUUUACAAAAUUUUUUUAAAUUAUAAAAAUUUUAAAAAUUGUGGCCGGGCUCAGUGGCUCCUGCCACUUUGGGAGGCUGAGGUGGGUGGGUCACUUGAGGCCAGGAGUUCAAGACCAGCCUGGACAACAUGGUGAAAACCUGUCUCU